rnacentral:rRNA from 1 species
GAGUUUGAUCAUGGCUCAGGACGAACGCUGGCGGCGUGCCUAAUACAUGCAAGUCGAGCGGACGAAUCGAAAGCUUGCUUUUGAUUCGUUAGCGGCGGACGGGUGAGUAACACGUGGGCAACCUGCCCUGUAGACGGGGAUAACACCGAGAAAUCGGUGCUAAUACCGGAUAACACGAAAUGUCGCAUGACGUUUCGUUGAAAGACGGCGCAAGCUGUCGCUACAGGAUGGGCCCGCGGCGCAUUAGCUAGUUGGUGAGGUAACGGCUCACCAAGGCGACGAUGCGUAGCCGACCU